GUGGGGAAUCUUCCGCAAUGGACGAAAGUCUGACGGAGCGACGCCGCGUGAGUGAAGAAGGCCUUCGGGUCGUAAAGCUCUGUCAUCAGGGACGAACGGCCGGUGGAGUGGAAAGCCACCGGAUUGACGGUACCUGAGAAGGAAGCCACGGCUAACUACGUGCCAGCAGCCGCGGUAAUACGUAGGUGGCAAGCGUUGUCCGGAAUUAUUGGGCGUAAAGCGCGCGCAGGUGGGAUCUUAAGUCCAUUUUUAAAGUUCGGAGCUCAACUCCGUGAUGGGAUGGAAACUGGGAUUCUUGAGUACCGGAGAGGAAAGCGGAAUUCCCCGUGUAGCGGUGAAAUGCGUAGAUAUGGGGAGGAACACCAGUGGCGAAGGCGGCUUUCUGGACUGUGUCUGACGCUGAGAUGCGAAAGCCAGGGUAGCGAACGGGAUUAGAAACCCGGGUAGUCC
rnacentral:rRNA from 1 species